UCAAAGCGUAAUGAGAAAAUAAUGGCCAACCUUUCUUUCUCUGUUCUUAUGCCGUUUAUGACGAUGACUCUUGCUUCGUUCCUUAUCCUUAGCCU
rnacentral:sRNA from 1 species